CACGUCAUGACAUUCGGACAGCGUGGACAGAAUGGGACUGUUCGUACACACUCGGUUGCGAUGUAUCUCUAAGACGCUCCUGUGGGUGCUUCCCCAAAAUGACAACUGGUGACAUUUGAGAGUUUUUGGGCAAAUAACGGAAAACCUGGGCAAAGUGGUGAAUUGGAAGCAGCAUCUCAGCAGAGGAAGGAAAGAAGCAGAGGAAUUCUGCAAAAUAAUUUGUAAAGCUUGGACCAGGACAAGUAAACAUACAGCUGGAGGAGGGAGAAGAAUGAGCUUGGACCAGGACAGGUAAACGUACAGCUGGAGGAGGGAGAAGAAUGAGCUUGGACCAGGACAGGUAAACGUACAGCUGGAGGAGGGAGAAGAAUGAGCUUGGACCAGGACAGGUAAACGUCCAGCUGGAGGAGGGAGAAGAAUAAGCUUGGACCUGGACAGGUAAACGUCCAGCUGGAGGAGGGAGAAGAAUGAGCUUGGACCAGGACAGGUAAACGUACAGCUGGAGGAGGGAGAAGAAUGAGCUUGGACCAGGACAGGUAAACGUCCAGCUGGAGGAGGGAGAAGAAUGAGCUUGGACCUGGACAGGCAGCCUCAAAACAAAGAACCCCAAAAGAAUGACGGCCAAACACCUACUGCGCAGAGAGAAAAGAAAAAAAAACGUGCAAACAAUGAAACUGUGAACAGGAAUGGCAUUAAACAAUCUCAGACCUUGAAUAAAGAGUCAAUGUUUUGGACUGAGGACCUCUCCAUAGCUGCUGCCUGACCCAUCGAGUUCCUCCAGCAGUUUGUGUGAGUUGCUUUGGAGUUCCGGCGUCUGCAGAGUCUCCUGACUUUAUAACAUGCUAUUAUUUUUGUACUUAUGCACGUUUUAUUCCAUUUCUGUAC